rnacentral:lncRNA from 1 species
GGAUUUUUACAAACUAUCAAGGAAAAUAAAUCCGUAAAUAGCUGGAACACAGUGUGAUCCACGGAGUGACAGCCACAUGAGCAAAGGCUGGCUUAUAGGGUUUCCCUCACAAAUAUUCAGCAAACACUCAAGGGAACCUCGCUGGAGAUCUCUGGAACCCUCCUACUGCUCAGCUCCCACCUUUCAGCUAGAAGCAGAAAUCUGCAUUGGAAGCUUUGGAUCAGAGGAAUGACAUGAUCUGACAUAUAUAUUAACAUGACAGGACUGCUGGGUUAAAAGUUGACUACAGAAGGUAGGAAAUGAU